rnacentral:rRNA from 1 species
AGUGAACGCUGGCGGUAGGCCUAACACAUGCCAGUCGAACGGCAGCACAGUAAGAGCUUGCUCUUACGGGUGGCGAGUGGCGGACGGGUGAGGAAUACAUCGGAAUCUACUUUUUCGUGGGGGAUAACGUAGGGACACUUACGCUAAUACCGCAUACGACCUACGGGUGAAAGCAGGGGAUCUUCGGACCUUGCGUGAUUGAAUGAGCCGAUGUCGGAUUAGCUAGUUGGCGGGGUAAAGGCCCACCAAGGCGACGAUCCGUAGCUGGUCUGAGAGGAUGAUCAGCCACACUGGAACUGAGACACGGUCCAGACUCCUACGGGAGGCAGCAGUGGGGAAUAUUGGACAAUGGGCGCAAGCCUGAUCCAGCCAUACCGCGUGGGUGAAGAAGGCCUUCGGGUUGUAAAGCCCUUUUGUUGGGAAAGAAAAGCAGCAGGUUAAUACCCCGCUGUUCUGACGGUACCCAAAGAAUAAGCACCGGCUAACUUCGUG